rnacentral:rRNA from 1 species
UAUGGCGACCGGCGCACGGGUGAGUAACACGUAUCCAACCUGCCGAUGACUCGGGGAUAGCCUUUCGAAAGAAAGAUUAAUACCCGAUGGCAUAGUUCUUCCGCAUGAUAGAACUAUUAAAGAAUUUCGGUCAUCGAUGGGGAUGCGUUCCAUUAGGUUGUUGGCGGGGUAACGGCCCACCAAGCCUUCGAUGGAUAGGGGUUCUGAGAGGAAGGUCCCCCACAUUGGAACUGAGACACGGUCCAA